UGCGAUUCCGGUCAAGAAAGAGAGAUGGCUGCUCAAUGCUUCCUAUUCCAAAUCAACUUCUUAGGGUUUCCUUUCUGGUAUCUUCUUUACCUUCACUUCAAACCUAAACUUGAUUUACAUUCGGAUCCAACAGGUACUCUCUAACCCUAAACUUGAUUGGCCUUUCCUCAACAUUAAGAUUUUGAUUGUGUUUUAUUAUUGUUUUUCUCUGUUGUUUGGGUCUGUUAGCUGCUUGCUAAGGGCCUUUCUUGGUACCUAUCCUUUCUCAUAAUCCUAAUUUGUGUUAGAAAUUAGGUUUAGGGUUCUGAUAAUGGAGGUCUGAAUCAAGAAGAAGAUGUGUAGCAGCAGUUCUUGGAGAUAACUCAAGGCCAUUCUUCAAAAAAACCGGCUUCUCAAAAUUGGCUUCUCAAAAUUCGUCACUGGCUUCUCAAAAAAACUCAAGGCCAAGCUCAUUCACAUAAUUUUGAAGCUUCACUCAUUGAUUUAGAUCAAGUUAAAAAUGGUCACUAUGAGUUUCUUGGCUCUUCUUUGGGAAGUAAAGAUAAGGCGAAAGAUGCCAUCUUUUACUCAUACACGAGGCAUAUCAAUGGUUUUGUUGCCAUACUUGAAGAUGAAGAAGCAGCCCAGAUAGCCAAGCAUCCCAGGGUAGUUUUCGUGUUCUUGAACAGGGGUAGACAAUUGCAUACAACUAGAUCAUGGGAUUUUAUGGGGC